GAGAGAAAGAAAAGCGACGAAGAUGACGAAGCACUCAGACGGAUUUCUUCGACGAAGAACAAGAAGAAGAACACCACAAGGUCUCUCUCUCUCUCUCGUUCCGUACGAGAACCAGAAACCCUAACCCGUUUAUUAGGGCUCUUCUUCGUGAACACGGGAGAACACCACAAGUUUGGCUUUGAUGUUCUUCUUCUUCUUCGUUCUUCGUCAAACUAAAGGUCUCUCUCUCUCCCGAUCUCUCUUUGUCUAUCUCUCUCUCGAAUCCGUUUGAUUUUUGUGUUUUGCGAUUAGGUUUCGAUUUUGGGUUUCUAUCGAUUUGAAGCCCUAAUUUGUGGGUCGAUUUUCCCAAAUAAAUAAAAAAAAAAACCAUUUUGUUGAUUUUUUGAAUUUUUUGAUUGGCAUUUUGUACUUUAGAUUGUGGACAUUAAUUUUAGAUUGGCAAAAAGAGGAAGUUGGGCAUAUAAAUUCGAAAGAGAAAAAGCUGCAGUUGGGAAUAUUAUCCACGUAUGUAGGUUUCAUGUAAAACUACUAAACACAUAUAGCUACGAGAAAUACACAUAAAUGUGGACAAACUGCAGAACAUCUGUCAUUCUCGUGGGGGUGGAUUGUUCAGUUAAUGUAGCUGAGAUUCAGUGAUAUUUAGCUGUGAGAUUCAGUGAUAUUUAGCUGUGAGAUUCAGUGAUAUGUAGGUUUUCAUAAUUAGUGGUGGUUUAUAAUGGCAUUUCAUAAUUUAGAUUGGCUCGAAAUCUGGUACUGCUCUAUGUACUUAUUUUCAUUUUUAGUUUAUGAAGCAUGACAGUAGAGAUUGGUAUCUUGUAGAGAGUCAUGCAGUAUAGCUGACUGGUUAGUAAAUCAAAUAUUUGUUUUGCAGUACAAAGAUGUCUUCUUCUUCUUCUCCUUCCCAUUUCAAUAGCAUAAUUGAAGGCCCUCCUUGCAAAUGUGGAAUACCAUCACCUAUAAGAACUUCAAAAAUAGAGGCUAUUCAGGGAAGAAGAUUUCUAGGUUGUGUAAACUAUAAGCUACCUAAUGGAUGUGGUUUCUUCUAUUGGAUAGACCCUGAAAGAGACAUGGAAAAACAAAUGUUGCAAGCUGACAAGAAGAAUAUGGAGAGGGAAAUUCAGACUUGAGAAGAGAUAAUCAAGUUUUGAGGAAGGAUGUGGAAGAACUUACAAGAGAGAACAAGAAGCUGGGAAAGAAAUUACAAGAAGUUGAAGCUAAAGUGUUUGACUACAAAACAAAGUGUUUGAUUAUGUUAUUAAUUUUAUGCAUUGUUGUGUGGUUCGCGAAGAACGCUGAAACUGUUCCGAACAUGAGGAACAUGAAAUACCUGCCUUAGUUCAUAUGAAUGUAAUGGCAAUGUUCCAGAAUGAUCUCAAUUAAUAUUUGCUUGGAAGCCACCGAAGGAUGAAUGGCAUGGACAUGUUUUUUGUAUUGAUUUCUGAAUGAAUGGAUUGAAAAUUUGUUAUGAACAUGGUUACUUUCAUUCUGGCA